AUUGAACGCUGGCGGCAUGCUUUACACAUGCAAGUCGGACGAGUGGCGAACGGGUGAGUAACGCAUCGGCCCGUACCGAGGAAUGGGGGAUAACUGUCCGAAAGGACAGCUGAUACCGCAUAGUAUUCGAGCGGCCGAUGUCUGAUGAGCUGGUUGGUGGGGUAAAGGCCCACCAGGGCGACGAUCGGUAGCGGGUCUGAGAGGAUGCUCGGCCACACUGGAACGGAGAAAGGGCCCAGACGCCUGCGGUAGGCAGCAGUGGGGAAUGUUGGACAAUGGGCGCAAGCCUGAUACAGCCAUGCCGCGUGUCUGAAGAAGGCCUUCGGGUUGUAAAGGACUUUUGUUAGGGAAGCGGUACCUGAAGAAUAAGCACCGGCUAACUACGUGCCAGCAGCCGCGGUAAUAC
rnacentral:rRNA from 1 species